UACGGAGGGAGCGAACGUUGUUCGGAUUUACUGGGCGUAAAGGGUGUGUAGGCGGUCUUGCAAGUCAGGGGUGAAAUCUCUCGGCUCAACCGAGAAACUGCCUUUGAGACUGCAGGACUUGAGGGCGUGAGAGGAGACUGGAAUUCCUAGUGUAGCGGUGAAAUGCAUAGAUAUUAGGAGGAACACCGGUGGCGAAGGCGGGUCUCUGGGCAACAACUGACGCUGAGGAGCGAAAGCGUGGGGAGCGAACAGG
rnacentral:rRNA from 1 species